rnacentral:rRNA from 1 species
GCAAGUCGAGGGGUAGAGGUUGCUUGCAACCUUGAGACCGGCGCACGGGUGCGUAACGCGUAUGCAACCUACCCUUUUCUGGGGGAUAGCCCGAAGAAAUUCGGAUUAAUACCGCAUAAGACCACGACACGGCAUCGUGACGGGGUCAAACAUUUAUGGGAGAAGGAUGGGCAUGCGUGCCAUUAGCUAGUUGGCGGGGUAACGGCCCACCAAGGCGACGAUGGCUAGGGGAUCUGAGAGGAUGGCC